UCCUCUUCUGGGUGAAAGGUUUUGGUUCAGACUCACUUUGAAUGUCUUCAGCCCGGGCUCAGUGUGGGGAGCUGGGGGGAAGGAUGCCGCUUGUUCCAGAGCAAGAAUGGGGCAGCUGGAAAGGGGAACUUUGCAGCAACGUUUUUAUUUAUUGGAUUUGUCCUCGCCCCAAAGGGAAGUAGGAGCUUUUGUGUGUGUGCAGAUAAUGUUCUCCAGGUCUAGUUUCAGUUUGCUCAGAAAGAUGUGCUGUCCAUGGUGGCCCUUUGAAGAACAAAGUGUUGGUCCCUUCUUUGUUGUGGUCUGUCUUCAUGGUGCAGAAUUCCUGGUGGAAACCUUUCCCAUGCUUUGUCCUGGGCUCCUGGCCUCUCCAGGGCCAUGGGGACAGGGAUGAGGCCUUUGAAAUAAGCUAAAUUUGCAUCAUGCCUGUAGCUGUGAAGUGGCAGAUGAUGUUACUUUCUCAAAAGGAAGCUUUGUGGCUUUUUAAUUUUAUUAUUUUACGGUUGUUUUCUUUGCAUAAACCCACAGGAGGAAAGUUUUGUGUUCCCCAAGGAACACAAAAUUUGGGAUGGACUGCAGCUACAUUGGGCUUCACUCCUCCUGUCUGGAGGGAACAAAAAACGUGGAAGCUGCUGGAGGUUUGGGAUUUUUUGCCUCUUUGGAGGAAGGUGGAGGAGGAGCACAGGCUGAGGGGACAGACUCUGUCCUGUGAGCUCCUGUGACAUCUGUUCCAGACUCCUGGUCCCCUCUGUGAUCCCAAACCCCCUCAGCUCUGAUCCAAACCCCCAGUCCAUGACACAAAGCUGCUUCCCUGUCCUGUCCAAGAUCUGUGUUCUGAUUUAAUUCCAUUACCAGAGAUUUUUGUUUCCCCCCACCUCAUCGCCCUUCCUCUAUUUUUCUUUGCAGCAGAGUUUGUAGCAUUCAAAAAAAAAAAAAAAAAAUCCCAAAGUGGAAAUACUGGAGUUUUGCCACAUUUGUGGAGUGAGGGAUGGCUCUGCUUGGGCCAGACUCGAUUUUCCUGAUGAGUCCUGCCCUGCUGGGUCACUCUCCUGCUGCUCUCCUGCUCCACAUUGGUGUGGCUCCAUCAGCUGCUCCCUGCCAUCCCUGGAUUUCCAGGCACAAGGAGCUGGUUUGGGUUUGAUGGUUUUUUUCCCCCACCAAGCAAAAUGAGGUCUUGAUAUUCCUUUUGAGAAAAGAUUCCUCUGCCCUGUCCUUGGAUGUCUCGAAGGAGCAGGGAAAGGCAGGGCCAGGCUUGGUUCAGCCUCAGUGUGUGAUGUGAUUUUCCUGCCGAGGCAGAGCAGAUCUAUCUGUGCAUCCACAGGCUCAAACCUGAAUUUUUCCAUAUUUUCCUGCCAGCCCUGCUGCAGGGAGUUCCACAGGAACCUGCUGUGCCAUGGUUCUUUUCCCUCAUCCCUCUGGGACACUAGAGAGGAUUUCCUGGGACACACCUGGCUCUUGGUGCCACUGUCACACCCGGAGAGGAGAAUGUGCGUCUCACCAAAGGCAUCUCGGGGGUUCCAGGCUCUGGAGCUUUGUUCAGCCAAAGUCCUGCUGAGGGCUGGGAAUGUCUCGGUGCUAAAUGAAUGUUCCAAGGUGUCCAUAGGAUCCUGGGGUUGGGUGUAGGUACGAGGUGGGGAGGUUCAGUGGGAGCAAUACAGCCAAGGCUUGGUAAUCUGACUUUAUACCAAAGGUUUCUCCUGUUAAUUCGAUGGGAAUUCAAUGAGGCAAAUAUCUCUGGAAUUCAAAUGAGUUUUCCUAACGCAGUUUAGUCACUAAUUUGCUGGAUUAUUGGCAGAUUCUGCCCCAUUAACCCAAAGAAAUUGGAAUUUCUAGUGCAGUAAUUCAGCCUGUAAAUGAUCACUGCAGAAGGGAUUGGAUUUCACUGCCUGCUGAGCCACUCUUCCCCAAAAACCCCACUCGGGAUCCAUGGGAACAAACCUGGGCUGGAGCUGGGUCAGUCCAACACUGCCUUACCUGAGGAGCUCCCAUUUGGGAGUGGUCACUGAGGCUUCUUAUGCAAAAGGACUUCCCAACCAGAAACCAGCUGGAAAAGUCAGGAACAGCAGAAUGUCCUGCCAGGAUAUUUAGGAAAAACUUGAGGAAUUUGCCUGUUCCUUGCAGGGAAGUGAGGGACUGGGGCUGUGAAGCUGUGAUGGAACCACUGCCAUUGGGGUCAGCCUGCCAAGAGGUUCUGUGUUCCAUUCUGGGGACUUGGGGGUUUUCUUUCUUUUUUUUUUUGUUUUUAUACACAUAAGAAAAUGGUCGAUUUUCUCUAUUUUUGUAUAAUUUUGCAUUUUAUAAUCAUGGGGAAAUUUUACAGACUGUUCUUUUACUUGUGUGUCUUGUCUUUCCAAGCGGUGUGGUUUGCUUUUCCCGUGGAUAAAAGGCCAUUCCUGCUGCUGCCAUGCCUGGAUCCCACCCUGCUCCCUGGGAAUGUGCUGGGGCCUCUGCCCAGCCCUUCACAAACACACUUUGCACACACUUGAGAUGUCCUUAACCCUCCUCUGUCACACUCAGCUGUCCCUUGUUUGCUUUUCAGUGUUGUUUUUAAUCUGAAUUUGUGGAUUUUGGUGAUUUCUCCCUCCAACUGUUGUAAACAGCCCAUGGGAUUCAGCUGAGGCUUUUCCUGCUGUCUGCUGAUGUUAUUUUAUCUAAAAUUGGGGCUUUUCUUCAGUCCCUGUGCAGGAGAUGCUGUUGGCUGGUGCAUGGAAAUGCUCUUGGACAGGUUUCCUCUCCCCUUGGUGCUCUCUGGCUGGGCUGGGAGGUAGGAUUUUGCCCUGGUGCCUGAGGAUUGCUCCUUAAAUAAAUCUGGGAUUAGCAGGGCUCCCCACCUUCUCCUUCCUCCUCCAGGGAGCUCCAGCCUGUGCUCUGCUUCACUGAAAUAUCUCCCUGGAAUGACACUGCCUUGAACUUUGGGAUCAGAGGAGAGGAGAGCUGCUGGAAUGCUAAAAUCCAGUCCAAAGCAGAUUUCCCCCCGCUUUUUUCCCUCAGCAGAGGUGGCAAUUGUCACUGAUUUGGCUCUGCAGAGAUUUUUUUUUUUUUUGUCUUCUAAUUAAUAACUUGUCACCUAAUGGUGCUUUUAAAAGUUUUUCUGGAUUGGGUUUGCCCCAUUCCCCACAGGAAUGGACAGGAAGGUUUCAUUGAACAUUCCUGGGGCACUCAGACCCACCUUCCACAUUCCCUCUGCUCUGGAAUUCUGAGCUCCCUCCUCUCCAGCUGGGGCCUCCUGCUCUUCUCACCCACAUUGAGUCACCCCAAAGCUCCAUUUGGGUAAAGUGAGAAAUUCAAAUCCCAAAAAGCCUCUCAGUUGUAAGGAAAUAAUGACUUAGCCCUUGUCCUUGGCUGCCCCAUCCCGCUGCCAGGCUGGCAGCUCCUCCCAGGUGACCAACCUGGCUGAAUUUGGGGUUUUUUUGUUUCCUUCCUGGUCUCAUUGCUACUAGUCCUUUCAAGUUUUUAAUGUAUUGAUUGUGUUUUAAAAAUGAAUGUUCCUUUCACUGAAUUCUAAUGAAUAAACUGCAGAUUUUUAGAGAA